AGACUGGUUUUAAUAACAAUGCAUUAUAAAACCUUCAGAAGGAAAGAAACCAUUUGUUUCUUUUUGUGUGGCAAUUUUAAACUAUUAGUUUUUAAAAUCAGU
rnacentral:miRNA from 1 species